rnacentral:lncRNA from 1 species
CCUGGAUGUGUGGCGGAAAGUCUCUCUCUCCGCGCGCCCUCUGCUGGACGGCGAGAAAGGCACAGCCUGAGUGUGCGCUCCAGGACCUCACCUGUCGCCGCACCAAGUCAUCGCGCCACUGCCGCAGAGUCUCGUAUUAUUAUUUUAUGCUUAUUGAGCGCUCUGGAGAGCGGGCGCCAGGCCGGCCGACCGCAGGCUGAGGGUGAGGUCCUCUCCUUCCCGGGUUGAGACCUGAUCGCUGCCCCCAUCCUCCACCUGGUCGCCAAGUGCGGAGGAGACGCCGCCUGGUGGACGGCGAGGAACUUGACGGAAAACUUGUGGACGCGGAGUUCGUGCCCCAUGCCAGCACCAGAGCCCCCCAACACCAACCUGCAUUUUAACGCUCAGCAUCCUUGGAUGCGCACCCCUACCCGGAAAACAGAGACGAAAUGACUUGUCCAAGAUCACACAACGAGGAAGGGCAAAAUUAGGGUUAAAAUGAGGUUUCCUCCACUGCCGAGCAGUGGGUAAGAUUCAAACUGAAGCCUCACUUGCUGACCUGGGACCAGAGUCCGUGCCUCUUUAUUUUCAUCAAUAAAAUGGGGUUGAAAAAUAAGAAGUUCCCACCCCAGGGAUGUGGUAAGGCUGAAAUGGCUGACGUAGGAGCUGGGCAGCCAGGACCUGUUUCGAGAAAGCAUUUCCUCAAAUGACAUCAGCAGAGAGAAAGCCGGUGUCCCUCAAACCACAAAGCCAGCGCCAUCUUUCACUGGUAACAGAUUCACUCUCCUGAGUUACAGGAAACAGGGGCUUUGGGCUGAGGAAGCCACAGGCUGGCCUGGUGAGGACAGAGUUUUGAGAGGCAUCUGAACCCACUGUUUUACAUCUGAUAUGUGUUUGGAGCCAGCCUUUGCCCUUUGCUUGCUCUAUGAACCUCAUCUGAAACAGGACCUUUCAUUCUACACAUGCAUCCUUGAGGUUACAGCUUAGAAUCCAAUCGACCCAGUCUUACUGUCUGGAGUUCUCAGACUAGUGGGUGAAGCAGAAAUAGCAAGUAAAACCAUCUGAUAAUUAUAGAUGGUGACACAUGGAAUAUGAAGAACAGAGGGAUCCUGAGGUCAAUCAAGGCCUUUCUAAGGAGGUGACAUUUAAACAGAUACCUAAGUAAAUAGAGAGAGAUGCUAUGUGGGUAUCUGAUGGUAGAGAGUGCCUGCUAGAGAGAACAGCCAGUGUAAAGGUCCUGUGGUGGGAAUGUGAGCUGGGAGACAAGUGUGUCUGGGGCAGAGUGAGGGGUGAGUGGAAGGAAAUGAAGAAGGGAAGUGAUG